GACGAACGCUGGCGGCGUGCCUAAUACAUGCAAGUCGAGCGAAGUGGAGAGAGCUUGCUCUCGAAGCUUAGCGGCGAACGGGUGAGUAACACGUGGGCAACCUGCCCGAUAGACCGGGAUAACUUGGGGAAACUCAAGCUAAUACCGGAUAGGAUCAUUAACCGCCUGGUUGGUGAUGGAAAGUCUGAACGACACUAUCGGAUGGGCCCGCGGCGCAUUAGCUAGUUGGUGGGGUAACGGCCUACCAAGGCGACGAUGCGUAGCCGACCUGAGAGGGUGACCGGCCACACUGGGACUGAGACACGGCCCAGACUCCUACGGGAGGCAGCAGUAGGGAAUCUUCCACAAUGGGCGAAAGCCUGAUGGAGCAACGCCGCGUGAGUGAUGAAGGUUUUCGGAUCGUAAAACUCUGUUGUUAGGGAAGAACACCCGGGAGAGGAUCCCGGUUUGACGGUACCUGACGAGAAAGCCCCGGCUAACUACGUGCCAGCCGCCGCGGUAA
rnacentral:rRNA from 1 species